AACGAACGCUGGCGGCAUGCCUAACACAUGCAAGUCGAACGAGACCUUCGGGUCUAGUGGCGCACGGGUGCGUAACGCGUGGGAACCUGCCCUUAGGUUCGGAAUAACUCCCCGAAAGGGGUGCUAAUACCGGAUAAUGUCUUCGGACCAAAGAUUUAUCGCCUUUGGAUGUGCCCGCGUUGGAUUAGCUGGUUGGUAGGGUAAAAGCCUACCAAGGCGACGAUCCAUAGCUGGUCUGAGAGGAUGAUCAGCCACACUGGGACUGAGACACGGCCCAGACUCCUACGGGAGGCAGCAGUGGGGAAUAUUGGACAAUGGGCGAAAGCCUGAUCCAGCAAGGCCGGGUGAGUGAUGAAGGCAUUAGGGUUGUAAAGCUCUUUUACCCGGGAUGAUAAUGACAGUACCGGGAGAAUAAGCGCCGGCUAACUCCGUG
rnacentral:rRNA from 1 species